GAAAAAUACACAUUAUACGUGCAAAAAUCAGAAGCGUAGAAUGGAUAAUAUAUCGAUGUAGUCGAGCCACCGUUUGUACUAGCGUAUAUGUAGGAAUUCAUAGUUAACUGCUGGUUCAAAUUAUUUUUGGUAAAAAUUUAUUAAUCGGUACUUGCACGAUGAUUUGACUGAAAGCAUCGAGUAAACGACACCACUCACCAAUCAUAAUCACCAUCACGAACGUCACAACACCCAUCUCGCCUAAGAGGACACAAAUGGAACGUGGUACGGGAGAAGGACUCAUCG